UUCCAGGUAAAUCCGGUACCUUUUAACGCUGAGGUGUGAUGACGAGGCACUACGGUGCUGAAGUAACAAAUGCCCUGCUUCCAGGAAAAGCCUCUAAGCAUCAGGUAACAUCAAAUCGUACCCCAAACCGACACAGGUGGUCAGGUAGAGAAUACCAAGGCGCUUGAGAGAACUCGGGUGAAGGAACUAGGCAAAAUGGUGCCGUAACUUCGGGAGAAGGCAC
rnacentral:rRNA from 1 species